ACAAAGUCUAAUAUUUGCAGUACUUCUGAGC
rnacentral:piRNA from 1 species